rnacentral:rRNA from 1 species
CCCUUAGAUGUUCUGGGCCGCACGCGCGCUACACUGAUGCAUUCAACGAGUCUAAAACCUGCUCUGAUAGGGGUGGGUAAUCUUUUGAAUGCGCAUCGUGAUUGGGAUAGAUGAUUGCAAUUUUUCAUCUUCAACGAGGAAUGCCUAGUAAACGCAAGUCAUCAGCUUGCAUUGAUUACGUCCCUGCCCUUUGUACACACCGCCCGUCGCUCCUACCGAUUGAAUGAUCCGAUGAAUAUCAUGGAUUGAGGAUGCAAGUAGGUUCACCUAUCUUCAUCUUCGAGAAGUGAAGUAAAUCUUAUCAUUUAGAGGAAGGAGAAGUCGUAACA